UCCACAAGUUUAUUUACAGUAACAUAGAAAAUAUUCACAGAACAAUUAUUGACAAAAAAAAAAAGUUUCUUAUUUACUUUUUGGUCGAAGGAUAUUUUACAUAUAAGAUACAAAUAUCAAUGAAUUGCUACCUUUUUACAUCACUCAUAUCUACAUGCUUGCUGUGCUGCAUGAAAUCACAGGUAUUUUGUAUAAAAUUGUUAAAAAAAACAUCAACAACAAUUGACAAGCCUUCACUAAAAACUUCACGACAAAAUUCCACGUGUGCCUGCAUUUAUGAAAUGUCACUUAUUUUUGUUUUUGUGUGUGUGUGUGUGUGUGUGUGUGUGUGUGUGUGUGUGUGUAACUAGGAAAUACUACUAGAUUCCUAUGAGAACACACGAAACAGAAUACAAACAUAUACUAUGAACUGUGCCGGAAAAAUUCCGAGACUGGUGUCAGAAAAAAAUAUAUAUUUCAAACCCAAAACUACAAACCAUGAAUUUUCUCAUUAAAUGCUCAAGGGUAGUCAUCAGGGGGACCUGUUUUGAAGAGGUGGACAACAUCAAGUUGGCCAUGAUGACGGAGCUGUGGAGGAUCCCGCAAGAAUCCUUCUAGGAGUGCAUGAGGGCGUGGCACUGGUGGUUGGGAAGAAUUUGUAGUUUGCAUUUGAAACAUAUCUUUUAUAACAUCAAUCCGGGAACUCUUCUGACACUUCAUUAGUACACAUUAAAAAUGUUUGGUUGUUUUCCUCACCCACUUGUUUGGUAUCUCUGAAUUUUGAGCAGAUUGGCUUGCUUGUACCCAAGGUUGGCUUAAUUAUUUUGACCCAGGACACUGAGUUGAAGAUUUGGGUGAGCUGAAGAGCUGAAGCUGCUCACCAUUUUCGACAGGCUUGUGUCCUGAAUUGAAAUAAAUUGAAAUUAAUUAAACAUUCAUAGAAGAGGUGUGUUGCAGUUGGCUGGCUCAGUGGGUAGCACUACUGACUUUGAACAAAAGGAUUGGGAUUCAGGGUGGCACAAUGGUCGACAGGUGGUUCUCUCCGUACCUGCGUGCGUUAUCUCAUAGGUACUCUGGUUUCCUCCCACGUUCC